UACAACUUUCAACAACGGAUCUCUUGGUUCUGGCAUCGAUGAAGAACGCAGCGAAAUGCGAUACGUAGUGUGAAUUGCAGAAUUCAGCGAAUCAUCGAAUCUUUGAACGCACAUUGCGCCCUUUGGUAUUCCAAAGGGCAUGCCUGUUCGAGCGUC
rnacentral:rRNA from 1 species